rnacentral:rRNA from 1 species
CCUACGGGGUGCAGCAGUGGGGAAUAUUGCACAAUGAGGGAAACCCUGAUGCAGCGACGCCGCGUGAGUGAAGAAGUAAUUCGUUAUGUAAAGCUCUAUCAGCAGGGAAGAAAAUGACGGUACCUGAGUAAGAAGACCCGGCUAACUACGUGCCAGCAGCCGCGGGAAUACGUAGGGGGCAAGCGUUAUCCGGAUUUACUGGGUGUAAAGGGAGCGUAGACGGCAGUGCAAGACUGGAGUGAAAGGCGGGGGCUCAACCCCCGGACUGCUCUGGAAACUGGACGGCUGGAGUGCAGGAGAGGUAAGUGGAAUUCCUAGUGUAGCGGUGAAAUGCGUAGAUAUUAGGAGGAACACCAGUGGCGAAGGCGGCUUACUGGACUGUAACUGACGUUGAGGCUCGAAAGCGUGGGGAGCAAACAGGAUUAGAUACCCGGGUAGUC